GAUGAACGCUGGCGGCGUGCCUAACACAUGCAAGUCGAGCGAAGCACUCUACUCGAUUUCUUCGGGAUGAAGGUUUAGUGACUGAGCGGGCGUACGGGUGAAGGUACGCGUAGGUAAGUAACCUGCCUCAUACAGGGGGAUAACAGUUAGAAAUGACUGCUAAUACCGCAUAAGACCACAGCACCGCAUGGUGCAGGGGUAAAAACUCCGGUGGUAUGAGAUGGAUCCGCGUCUGAUUAGCUAGUUGGUAAGGUAACGGCUUACCAAGGCGAUGAUGCAUAGCCGAGUUGAGAGACUGAUCGGCCACAAUGGAACUGAGACACGGUCCAU
rnacentral:rRNA from 1 species